rnacentral:rRNA from 1 species
UACGUAGGGUGCAAGCGUUGUCCGGAAUUAUUGGGCGUAAAGAGCUCGUAGGCGGUUUGUCGCGUCUGCUGUGAAAACUCAGGGCUUAACCCUGAGCUUGCAGUGGGUACGGGCAGACUAGAGUGCGGUAGGGGAGACUGGAAUUCCUGGUGUAGCGGUGAAAUGCGCAGAUAUCAGGAGGAACACCGGUGGCGAAGGCGGGUCUCUGGGCCGUAACUGACGCUGAGGCACGAAAGCGUGGGGAGCAAACAGG